rnacentral:rRNA from 1 species
GAUGAACGCUGGCGGCGUGCUUAACACAUGCAAGUCGAACGAUGAAGCCCAGCUUGCUGGGUGGAUUAGUGGCGAACGGGUGAGUAACACGUGAGUAACCUGCCCUUGACUCUGGGAUAAGCCUGGGAAACUGGGUCUAAUACUGGAUAUGACUUCUCAUCGCAUGGUGGGGGGUGGAAAGAUUUAUUGGUCUUGGAUGGACUCGCGGCCUAUCAGCUUGUUGGUGAGGUAAUGGCUCACCAAGGCGACGACGGGUAGCCGGCCUGAGAGGGUGACCGGCCACACUGGGACUGAGACACGGCCCAGACUCCUACGGGAGGCAGCAGUGGGGAAUAUUGCACAAUGGGCGCAAGCCUGAUGCAGCGACGCCGCGUGAGGGAUGACGGCCUUCGGGUUGUAAACCUCUUUCAGUAGGGAAGAAGCGAGAGUGACGGUACCUGCAGAAGAAGCGCUGGCUAACUACGUG